AAUGUUCAUGCCACUUAUGUACACAAACAUUUUCACAUACAACUGUAUAUAAUAUAUAUAUAUAUAUAUAUAUAUAUAAUAUAUUUAUUUUAUUUAUACAGAACACUGGAAAAAUAUAAAAAAUGCUCACAGUUUUUGGAAUAUCAACAAUUUCAACAAAGAUAAAAUUAGCUUUUAUCUGGAUUCACAAAAUACUAUAUAUGAUAAAUACACAAACGAAAUAUGCAACGUUUCGUUAGAUUCAAUUGCACCCCCACAAGUUUGUCCAAAAACAAUAAAAAAAAAAUAACAUUUGUGUGAAAGCGCAUGUGCAUAGAAACACGAAUUUACAAUAUGUACGUACUUGUAUAAAUGUAUGCAUAUGUGCUUUUGUCAUUUUUUUUUUUUUUUUUUUUUAUUUUUUUUCCCCCUUUGUUUUAAGCAGUUUUUAUACUAUUUGGAUAACCCGAUAAACGUAAAAAGCACAUUCAAUGCUUGUAUGUCUAUGGCAUUAGACGAAAUAAUUCAAGAAAUAGAAAAUAAAAAAAACUUAGAUGAAUUUGAUGAAAAACAAAAAAAUACUUUAUUAAUUAUUAAAGAAAAAGCAAAUAAAAAGUAUUUUUCCUCCAUACGAAAAAUGGAAAAAAUACUAUCAAAAUUUUUAAAUGAAAAUAAGAAAAUGUCCUUUGAUUUUUUCCUAAGGGGAUGUGAAAGCUAUGGACAUGUACUAAUGAAAUGUAAAGAAAAAUUAUUUGUAACGUUUAACAAAACAUACGGCUUACAUUUUAAAAACUUCGAAGAUUUUUGGCUUCAUGAAGAAGAAAAAAGGAAAGAAAAAUGGAAAGAACUAUGGAUAUUAAAUGAAAUAGAAAAAAAAAAAUGUGUCACUUCAUAAAAAUGGUGAUGACUUAAAUACUGCAUCAAAUAAUUAUUACAAUGAAAAUAACAAUAAUAAUAAUAAUAAUAAUAACACUAGUAACAGUAAUAACAAUUGUGACCUUAGCAACAAUAACACAAAUAAUAUUUUUAAUAAAAACACAAAUGAAGACGACA
rnacentral:lncRNA from 1 species